rnacentral:ncRNA from 2 species
UAUAUGAAACAGGGGAGCUGGCUGAAGCUGGCUGAGAGGAAACUGACUGGUUUCGACCCAUAACCUGAUUUGGAUAAUGCCAACGUAGGGAAAUACCGAAGAUUUUUC